rnacentral:rRNA from 1 species
UACGUAGGGUGCAAGCGUUAAUCGGAAUUACUGGGCGUAAAGCGUGCGCAGGCGGUGAUGUAAGACAGAUGUGAAAUCCCCGGGCUCAACCUGGGAACUGCAUUUGUGACUGCAUCGCUGGAGUACGGCAGAGGGGGAUGGAAUUCCGCGUGUAGCAGUGAAAUGCGUAGAUAUGCGGAGGAACACCGAUGGCGAAGGCAAUCCCCUGGGCCUGUACUGACGCUCAUGCACGAA